UACGUAGGGGGCAAGCGUUAUCCGGAUUUAUUGGGCGUAAAGCGAGCGCAGGUGGUUUAUUAAGUCUGGUGUAAAAGGCAGUGGCCCAACCAUUGUAUGCAUUGGAAACUGGUAGACUUGAGUGCAGGAGAGGAGAGUGGAAUUCCAUGUGUAGCGGUGAAAUGCGUAGAUAUAUGGAGGAACACCGGUGGCGAAGGCGGCUUACUGGACGGCAACUGACGCUGAGGCUCGAAAGCGUGGGGAGCAAACAGG
rnacentral:rRNA from 1 species